AUUUAAGGAAUAUAUCAGAGAAGACAAUGACACCCCACUCCAGUACUCUUGCCUGGAAAAUCCCAUGGAUGGAGGAGCCUGGUAGGCUGCAGUCCAUGGGGUCGCGAAGAAGUCGGACAUGACUGAAGUGACUUAGCAUGCAUGCAUAGACAU